rnacentral:rRNA from 1 species
GGGUUGUGAGGUUAAGCGACUAAGCGUACACGGUGGAUGCCCUGGCAGUCAGAGGCGAUGAAGGACGUGCUAAUCUGCGAUAAGCGCCGGUAAGGUGAUAUGAACCGUUAUAACCGGCGAUUUCCGAAUGGGGAAACCCAGUGUGACUCGUCACACUAUCAUUAACUGAAUCCAUAGGUUAAUGAGGCGAACCGGGGGAACUGAAACAUCUAAGUACCCCGAGGAAAAGAAAUCAACCGAGAUUCCCCCAGUAGCGGCGAGCGAACGGGGAGGAGCCCAGAGCCUGAAUCAGCAUGUGUGUUAGUGGAAGCGUCUGGAAAGGCGCGCGAUACAGGGUGACAGCCCCGUACACAAAAGCGCAYRUGCUGUGAGCUCGAUGAGUAGGGCGGGACACGUGGUAUCCUGUCUGAAUAUGGGGGGACCAUCCUCCAAGGCUAAAUACUCCUGACUGACCGAUAGUGAACCAGUACCGUGAGGGAAAGGCGAAAAGAACCCCGGCGAGGGGAGUGAAAAAGAACCUGAAACCGUGUACGUACAAGCAGUGGGAGCACCCUUUGGGGUGUGACUGCGUACCUUUUGUAUAAUGGGUCAGCGACUUAUAUUCUGUAGCAAGGUUAACCGWAUAGGGGAGCCGSAGGGAAACCGAGUCUUAAYYGGGCGUUAAGUUGCAGGGUAUAGACCCGAAACCCGGUGAUCUAGCCAUGGGCAGGUUGAAGGUUGGGUAACACUAACUGGAGGACCGAACCGACUAAUGUUGAAAAAUUAGCGGAUGACCUGUGGCUGGGGGUGAAAGGCCAAUCAAACCGGGAGAUAGCUGGUUCUCCCCGAAAGCUAUUUAGGUAGCGCCUCGUGAAUUCAUCUCCGGGGGUAGAGCACUGUUUCGGCUAGGGGGCCAUCCCGGCUUACCAACCCGAUGCAAACUGCGAAUA